GCGAUGAAUUAUUCGAUGUUUACAACAUGUAUGAAGAUAAUGAAGACCCCUUGCAACUCCAAUAGCUAUUUUGUAUCUUAUUGGCCAGUCAAGUGAGUUUUCUGCUUUACCUGAUAUAUUCAUUUCACUACAUUUAAAUCUCAUAUGACAUAACAAACGGUAACUACGUAGCACAAACACAAACACCAGGCACGACACCAUAUUGACACUGACACAUCGACACAAGUAAUUAUUUUAGCAAAUAGAAUUACUGAAUGCAUCAAGUAUUCAUAUGUAUCAGUGUCAUGUUCGUGUCAGACACCAGACACCAGACACACUUUCAAUAUGAAGUGUCGCUGCUAGAUAGGGUAAUUCGUGAAAAAUGAUAGUACAACGGGAGUUAGGUAUAAGGUUUACUCACCAUAACCAUGCAAUGCAGUUGACAAGUUUCCAUUUUGAGAGUAAUUGAAAAUCAGAUAAAGCCCAUUUUCAAUGCAAUAGCCUAACAAAGUUGCAGUAUUAGCAUGACAGACAUGUCCAAUAACACCUAACUCCAUAAGGAACUCUUUUUCCUUGUUUGGAUCAUUGUUGUCUUUGGCUAAUCUCUUCACAGCAAUGGUUUCUCCAUCACAAAGAACACCUUUGUAUACUUCUGAGUACCCUCCUCUUCCAACCAAAUUAUCUGUUUUCAAAAAACAAAAAAUGAAUACUAUAAAGAACCUUAAUUCAAUGUUUCCUAUGACCUUAAAUUAAUUGGUGAGCGCUCCGGUACACAUCUUAUUUGGAUAUGUAUGGGUACACCGCUGAUAUGUAUAAUUUUGAUAGGUUCACAAAUAGUGUUGAAUAAAGAAAAAAUAAUAAACAUUAUUUGGGAACCUAUCAGAAUCAUCCACCGCAGCAGACGUACCAAUACAUAUCUAAAUAAAAUGUGUAUCGAAUAAUCCACUUGAUUAUAUACCUUGGUGAAAGUCAUCAGUAGCAUUUGAUAUGUUUUCAUAGCUGAAGCACUUCAACAAGGGUUGAUGUUUUUCAGUUUUGGACAUGUUGAAGCUUUUUAUUCUGAAUGGUGAACCAAGGAAUGAUAUUAUGAACCUGAAUGACAAUUGUGAUUUUCUUAACUUUGAUUUUCUUUUAAUCUUGGGAUCAGAAGAAGGUGUAUAUGUCAUGCUUGAUGCUCUAGUGCUAAAUGUGUUAUCUUCUGUGCUGUUGUUGGAUUGUCCCUCUAGUCCAUCUAGCAGUACUGUUCUUGGUGAACUGUUUUGUGCAGUCAUUUCUGAGAUGAAAUCAAGGUACUUCAUUAAGUUUUUUGUUUUUUUUUUUAUUUAAAGAAAUUAUAUAAGGAAAUUUUUUUAUUAAUUAAAAUAACACUAAUAGUCGGUUUACAACGGGUUCCUGAUAGGAUUUGAACUCUGUUUGAUAAAGUUAUAAAGUCAAACUCUAACACUGAGCUAACACCUUAUGGAAAAAUAAUUCGAUUUUUAAGUAAUUCGUUGUUAUCCAAUGUAAUUUGUAUUUUGUUAACAUUACUUUAAGACAAAUUGAGUUACCUUGAAAAUGUGUGGAAUUUGAAUUGAUGUAAUUCUGUUCUGACUUUGUGUAUCUACCAACUGAGAUCAUUGUACAACCUUCAUCUAUAUGCUCAAAGCAAUACUUGGUAAUUCCUUUAGAGGUCCCAAUUCUAUCAACAAUACCAAAACAUAAAAAUAAGAGGGGUUGUCAUGUUACAAAUUAGGGGAAGGACAAAGAGGCCAAGUUUUCAACAAUAUCAAUAGACUGAGUUUAAACAUAAAUUAUCUAGAACAAAUCAUCAUUAUAAUAAUACCUAGUAUAAAAUCUGAUACUAAGCAAUAUACUCUCAGAAUAUCUAUUAAUAUUUAAUUUAAUAUAGAUAUAUUUUCUUAUAUAUUGUAACAUGUCACUGAUGUGAUUGAUCUUUAUGGAAUUUUAUAAAUGUUACACUCAGUUCUUACUUACUUAUUUGUUUUGUUUCUUGAUCCCCGGAGGAGAAGAAAAUCAGCAGAAAUUGACUUGGCUUCCUCCACUAAACCACCACCUACUGUGGAAUUAAGUGCCACUUUUGCCUCCAAAUUCACCUGAAAAUGAUGUUUCCAUCAGCAAUCUUUGAUUCUAAUAGCAAGUAUAUUAAAGUCU
rnacentral:lncRNA from 1 species